UCAUCUAUAAACAUACCGCUGCUACUUUUUCACAUAGUAUUAAGAGUCGUUUAAAGUCUAUUUUCUCAUUAUUUAACUAUGAUGUUUGGGGUCUUAGUAGAGUCAGUUCAUCCUUAGGUUUUUGUUAUUUUUUUUAGUUUCAUUGAUGAUUUUUCAAGAUGUACUUGGGUUUUCUUAUUGAAAGAUCAUUCUGAGUUAUUUUCUAUAUACAAA
rnacentral:lncRNA from 1 species